rnacentral:lncRNA from 1 species
AGUGUCCCAUGUGCUUCUUUUCUUUAUCUAAAUUCCUUCCAUCCCUGCUGCUAAAACUCUGCUGAGUGAACUGUUCCAACAACAGGUGCCAAAAUUCUGUCCUCGUUGACCAUGGAGUUUUAUUCAUGUGGUGGAAUUGAUUAUUUUCAUCCUUUGGAGUUAGAAUGAUUCCCAGUGGUAUCCACCUGAGAGCAAGCUUAGUGCUAAAUUUUAACAUUUGUAUGCUGUACAGUUGGGAAACUAAUCAGUGGUCUGCUGGUUUCAGAAGAAGAAUGGUCUUGUUAUUUACUUCUAUGGAAGUAAUGCCUAAUCCUUACACCAUCUAAAUAGUCUCUUAUAUUAUGUUCUGGCAAAAUUUUAACACAGGAUAAAGUAAUGUAGUGGAAAUUAAACUGAAACCACUAUAAUGCAUCUGAGCAUGUACUAAGCUCUACAGACAUGAAGAAGUCUGUUUCUGGCUUUGUUUUCAUCAAAAAUGGGAAAGCACAAUCUUGUUUAAAGGUGAAGUUUUAAUAUUCUAAAAUUAAUAUUUUGAAGAUACAGUCUUAGUCCAGUUAGCAAAGCUGUUACUUAAAUCAUUUGUAUAUUGAGCACAAAGUGUAAAAUAUAAUAAAAUGUCACUCUACUGGAUAAUUCA